rnacentral:rRNA from 1 species
AGUGAACGCUGGCGGUAGGCCUAACACAUGCAAGUCGAACGGCAGCACAGUAAGAGCUUGCUCUUACGGGUGGCGAGUGGCGGACGGGUGAGGAAUACAUCGGAAUCUACUUUUUCGUGGGGGAUAACGUAGGGAAACUUACGCUAAUACCGCAUACGACCUACGGGUGAAAGCGGGGGAUCUUCGGACCUUGCGCGAUUGAAUGAGCCGAUGUCGGAUUAGCUAGUUGGCGGGGUAAAGGCCCACCAAGGCGACGAUCCGUAGCUGGUCUGAGAGGAUGAUCAGCCACACUGGAACUGAGACACGGUCCAGACUCCUACGGGAGGCAGCAGUGGGAAAUAUUGGACAAUGGGCGCAAGCCUGAUCCAGCCAUACCGCGUGGGUGAAGAAGGCCUUCGGGUUGUAAAGCCCUUUUGUUGGGAAAGAAAAGCAGCAGGUUAAUACCCCGCUGUUCUGACGGUACCCAAAGAAUAAGCACCGGCUAACUUCGUG